AUGAUGAUUUUCCUUGAUUUUAUGGUUAGAACUGGAGAGACCGAUGAAGCCUGUUAACUAGGGCGAACUGAGUUG